rnacentral:rRNA from 1 species
GACGAACGCUGGCGGCGUGCUUAACACAUGCAAGUCGAACGGUAAGGCCCUUCGGGGUACACGAGUGGCGAACGGGUGAGUAACACGUGGGUGAUCUGCCCUGCACUUCGGGAUAAGCCUGGGAAACUGGGUCUAAUACCGGAUAGGACCCUGGGAUGCAUGUCCUGGGGUGGAAAGCUUUUGCGGUGUGGGAUGGGCCCGCGGCCUAUCGGCUUGUUGGUGGGGUGAUGGCCUACCAAGGCGACGACGGGUAGCCGGCCUGAGAGGGUGACCGGCCACACUGGGACUGAGAUACGGCCCAGACUCCUACGGGAGGCAGCAGUGGGGAAUAUUGCACAAUGGGCGCAAGCCUGAUGCAGCGACGCCGCGUGAGGGAUGACGGCCUUCGGGUUGUAAACCUCUUUCAGCGCCGACGAAGCGCAAGUGACGGUAGGUGCAGAAGAAGGACCGGCCAACUACGUGCCAGCAGCCGCAGUAA